GGCUAACUCCGUGCCAGCAGCCGCGGUAAUACGGAGGGUGCGAGCGUUAAUCGGAAUUACUGGGCGUAAAGCGCAUGCAGGCGGCCUGUUAAGUCAGAUGUGAAAGCCCGGGGCUUAACCUCGGAAUUGCAUUUGAAACUGGCAGGCUAGAGUCUUGUAGAGGGGGGUAGGAAUUUCAGGUGUAGCGGUGAAAUGCGUAGAGAUCUGAAGGAAUACCAGUGGCGAAGGCGGCCCCCUGGACAAAGACUGACGCUCAGAUGCGAAAGCGUGGGGAGCAAACAGGAUUAGAUACCCCUGGUAG
rnacentral:rRNA from 1 species